AAAUUGAAGAGUUUGAUCAUGGCUCAGAUUGAACGCUGGCGGCAGGCCUAACACAUGCAAGUCGAACGGUAACAGGAAGCAGCUUGCUGCUUUGCUGACGAGUGGCGGACGGGUGAGUAAUGUCUGGGAAACUGCCUGAUGGAGGGGGAUAACUACUGGAAACGGUAGCUAAUACCGCAUAACGUCGCAAGACCAAAGAGGGGGACCUUAGGGCCUCUUGCCAUCGGAUGUGCCCAGAUGGGAUUAGCUAGUAGGUGGGGUAACGGCUCACCUAGGCGACGAUCCCUAGCUGGUCUGAGAGGAUGACCAGCCACACUGGAACUGAGACACGGUCCAGACUCCUACGGGAGGCAGCAGUGGGGAAUAUUGCACAAUGGGCGCAAGCCUGAUGCAGCCAUGCCGCGUGUAUGAAGAAGGCCUUCGGGUUGUAAAGUACUUUCAGCGGGGAGGAAGGGAGUAAAGUUAAUACCUUUGCUCAUUGACGUUACCCGCAGAAGAAGCACCGGCUAACUCCGUGCCAGCAGCCGCGGUAAUACGGAGGGUGCAAGCGUUAAUCGGAAUUACUGGGCGUAAAGCGCACGCAGGCGGUUUGUUAAGUCAGAUGUGAAAUCCCCGGGCUCAACCUGGGAACUGCAUCUGAUACUGGCAAGCUUGAGUCUCGUAGAGGGGGGUAGAAUUCCAGGUGUAGCGGUGAAAUGCGUAGAGAUCUGGAGGAAUACCGGUGGCGAAGGCGGCCCCCUGGACGAAGACUGACGCUCAGGUGCGAAAGCGUGGGGAGCAAACAGGAUUAGAUACCCUGGUAGUCCACGCCGUAAACGAUGUCGACUUGGAGGUUGUGCCCUUGAGGCGUGGCUUCCGGAGCUAACGCGUUAAGUCGACCGCCUGGGGAGUACGGCCGCAAGGUUAAAACUCAAAUGAAUUGACGGGGGCCCGCACAAGCGGUGGAGCAUGUGGUUUAAUUCGAUGCAACGCGAAGAACCUUACCUGGUCUUGACAUCCACGGAAGUUUUCAGAGAUGAGAAUGUGCCUUCGGGAACCGUGAGACAGGUGCUGCAUGGCUGUCGUCAGCUCGUGUUGUGAAAUGUUGGGUUAAGUCCCGCAACGAGCGCAACCCUUAUCCUUUGUUGCCAGCGGUCCGGCCGGGAACUCAAAGGAGACUGCCAGUGAUAAACUGGAGGAAGGUGGGGAUGACGUCAAGUCAUCAUGGCCCUUACGACCAGGGCUACACACGUGCUACAAUGGCGCAUACAAAGAGAAGCGACCUCGCGAGAGCAAGCGGACCUCAUAAAGUGCGUCGUAGUCCGGAUUGGAGUCUGCAACUCGACUCCAUGAAGUCGGAAUCGCUAGUAAUCGUGGAUCAGAAUGCCACGGUGAAUACGUUCCCGGGCCUUGUACACACCGCCCGUCACACCAUGGGAGUGGGUUGCAAAAGAAGUAGGUAGCUUAACCUUCGGGAGGGCGCUUACCACUUUGUGAUUCAUGACUGGGGUGAAGUCGUAACAAGGUAACCGUAGGGGAACCUGCGGUUGGAUCAC
rnacentral:rRNA from 1 species